GACAGAGGGUGCAAGCGUUGUUCGGAAUUAUUGGGCGUAAAGCGCGCGUAGGCGGUCUGGUAAGUCGGGUGUGAAAGCCCAGGGCUCAACCCUGGAAGUGCACUCGAAACUGCCUGACUAGAGUCCCGGAGAGGGUGGUGGAAUUCCUGGUGUAGAGGUGAAAUUCGUAGAUAUCAGGAGGAACAUCCGUGGCGAAGGCGACCACCUGGACGGUGACUGACGCUGAGGUGCGAAAGCGUGGGGAGCAAACAGG
rnacentral:misc_RNA from 1 species